GGAGAUGGUAGCUCAGUGGUAGAGUGCAUGCUCUGUAUGUAUGAUGUCCUGUGUUCAAUAUCCAGCUGCUCCC
rnacentral:tRNA from 1 species